GACGAACGCUGGCGGCGUGCCUAAUACAUGCAAGUAGGACGCAGUUGCGAACGGGUGAGUAACGCGUAGGUAACUACCUAUUAGAGGGGGAUAACUAUUGGAAACGUUAGCUAAUACCGCAUACUAGUAGAUGGACCUGCGUUGUAUUAGCUAGUAGGUCGGGUAAAGGCCUACCUAGGCAACGAUACAUAGCCGAACUGGGAGGGUGAACUGCCAAACUGGGACUGGAACACGGCCCAGACUCCUACGGGAGGCCACCGUAGGGAAUCAUCGGAAAUGGGGGGAACCCUGACCGAGCAACGCCGCGUUAGUGAAGAAGGUUUUCGGGUCGUAAAGCUCUGUUGUUAAGGAAGCGGUACUUAACCAGAAAGGGACGGCUAACUACGUGCCAGCAGCCGCGGUAAUUC
rnacentral:rRNA from 1 species